UGGAUAGUGGCGAAAGGGUGAGUAAUGGAUAGGUAACGUGCCCUGUGCUUCGGGAUAGCGCCGUUCGCCUUCGGGCGAACUACCGAAAGGGGCGGUAAUACCGAAUAAUAUCAUUCGUCGAUGGACGAAUGUUCAAAGAUUUAUCGGCAAAGGAGCGGCCUAUCUCCUAUCAGCUUGUUGGUGAGGUAACGGCUCACCAAGGCUAUCACGGGUAGCGGGACUGAGAGGUUGGCCCGUCACAUUGGGACUGAGACACUGCCCAGACCUCCACGGAGGGCUGCAGUAACGAAUAUUGCGCAAUGGGCGAAAGCCUGACGCAGCGACGCCGCGUGUAGGAGGAAGUCCCUCGGGAUGUAAACUACUGUCAGGGGGAAGAAAGUGCGCUUCGGUGCAUUGAUCUAACCCAAAGGAAGUCACGGCUAACUUCGUGCCAGCAGCCGCGGUAAGACGAAGGUGGCAAGCGUUGUUCGGUGUCACUGGGCUUAAAGAGUGCGUAGGCGGAAAGGUAAGCGCCCUGUGAAAACCCCCGGCUUAACCGGGGAAUUGCUCGGCGUACUGCUUUUCUUGAGCCAAGUAGGGGUGCACGGAACUCUUGGUGGAGCGGUGGAAUGCGUAGAUAUCAAGAGGAACGCCGGUGGAGAAAUCGGUGCACUGGGCUUGUGCUGACGCUGAGGCACGAAAGCGUGGGGAGCGAACGGGAUUAGAUACCCCGGUAGUCCACGCCGUAAACGAUG
rnacentral:rRNA from 1 species